UACGUAGGCAGCAAGCGUUGUUCGGAUUUACUGGGCGUAAAGGGCGCGUAGGCGGCGUAACAAGUCACUUGUGAAAUCUCCGGGCUUAACCCGGAGCGGCCAAGUGAUACUGUUGUGCUAGAGUGCAGAAGGGGCAACUGGAAUUCUCGGUGUAGCGGUGAAAUGCGUAGAUAUCGGGAGGAACAUCAGUGGCGAAGGCGGCUGUCUGGCCCAAUACUGACACUCAGGUGCGACAGCGUGGGGAGCAAACGGG
rnacentral:rRNA from 1 species